rnacentral:rRNA from 1 species
GACGAACGCUGGCGGCGUGCUUAACACAUGCAAGUCGAACGGAAAGGCCCUGCUUUUGUUGGUUGCUCGAGUGGCGAACGGGUGAGUAACACGUGAGUAACCUGCCCUUGACUUUGGGAUAACUUCAGGAAACUGGGGCUAAUACCGGAUAGGAGCUCCUGCUGCAUGGUGUGGGUUGGAAAGUUUCGGCGGUUGGGGAUGGACUCGCGGCUUAUCAGCUUGUUGGUGGGGUAGUGGCUUACCAAGGCUUUGACGGGUAGCCGGCCUGAGAGGGUGACCGGGCACAUGGGGACUGAGAUACGGACCAGAAUCCUACGGGAGGCAGCAGUGGGGAAUAUUGCACAAUGGGCGGAAGCCAGAUGAAGAAACGCCGCGUGCGGGAUGACGGCUUUCGGGUUGUAAACCGAUUUCGAAUGUGACGAAGCGUGAGUGACGGUAAUGGGUAAAGAAGCACCGGCUAACUACGUG